rnacentral:rRNA from 1 species
AAUGAACGUUGGCGGCGUGGAUUAGGCAUGCAAGUCGUGCGGAAAGGCUCCUUCGGGAGUACUCGAGCGGCGAAAGGGAGAGUAACGCGUGGAUAUCUACCCCCUGGUCUGGGAUAGCGGCGGGAAACUGCCGGUAAUACCAGAUAAUGUCUGCGGACCAAAGGUGUGAUUCCGCCGGGGGAUGAGUCCGCGUCCUAUUAGCUAGUUGGUGGGGUAAUGGCCUACCAAGGCGAAGAUGGGUACCGGGUGUGAGAGCAUGGCCCGGCUCACUGGGACUGAGACACUGCCCAGACACCUACGGGUGGCUGCAGUCGAGAAUCUUCGGCAAUGGGCGCAAGCCUGACCGAGCGACGCCGCGUGCGGGAUGAAGGCCUUCGGGUUGUAAACCGCUGUCAGAGGGGAGGAAAUGCGUGGUAGUUAUCUUCCAUGCUUGACCUAUCCUCAGAGGAAGUACGGGCUAAGUUCGUG